UUAGAAAUCUGUCAUUAUGGAAGUAAC
rnacentral:piRNA from 1 species